CUUCAGUCAUCCCACACUGGGGACUGUUUCUCCAGGAAAUGCUGACUUUUGCUGACUUUCGUUCACAGUUUCAGCUGACUUCAAGAACCUUUGAUAAUUCAUUUUCACAAAGUUCCAACCUGAAGCCAGAGGCUCAGACAAGGAAAGAUGCUACUUUCUGGAGACCUGGAGUCCUGAAGAGAGUGCUGAGUCUGGCCCGAGGGGAAAACAGUUUAGAGGAAAGAGAAAGAAAUAAAAGUAAGAGAACAAAUAGCAAAGUAACAGCUACAUUGAAGGAUAGACGAGAGACCAGAUAACCUGAAAACACUACUUUUCUGUUCAGGAUUCCACCAUCCACAUCACGCAAGGUCAACUGAGAACAGCGGAGAGGUGAAGUCUAGUCUCUCGAGUCUAUUUAAAUCCUGACCAGCCUCUCCACUCCCGGCAUUCCUCUGCAUGCCCAGGAUGCUGUUUCAGGCUCCUCAUGGGAACAAGCAGUACCUCCAGAAUUGAUUGGAACUUUCUGCCUCCAGAAUCCUUUAAUCUUCAUUAACGGGAAGAGAAAUAUCUACUUGCAAAGACUUUCUCAGACUCAAAUAGUGAUGUUUUAAAUUUAAUCAAGAUAUAUGAAUCCAAGACAAUGAAGUACCUAUGUGUGAUAUUAUCAAGUUAUAAAUGACCAAAUUUUCAUCACCACCUUGAAGAAAAAGGCUUAAAAAAAAAAAAAACAAAAACAAAACCGAACCUACUUGCAAAUGUAAAAACCUGUAAAAUACCACCAGCCAAGCAUGGGAUUCGAAUAAUGCCUUUCAUCAAAGUAGAUCAUUUCUUUUAGGUGUAGAUGAAUGUCUUGGAAGUUAUUACACAGUGCACACUGUCAUAGUCACACUGGAGAGAAAUGUUAUAAUAUCUUGUAGGUGGUUUUUUUUGUUUUUGUUUGUGUGUGUGUGUGUGUGUUUGUGUGUGUGUUUAGUGACAAAUCAUAAGAUCAAUAAAAAUACA